GAGAGCCGUAUACAAGGAGACUUGUACGUACGGUUCGGGGGCAGGCUCUCGGAAACCUACCGUCGCAAGACGGCAUGGCGCCGAGUGCCGAGCCUAC
rnacentral:ncRNA from 1 species